GGGGCUAUAGCUCAGUGGUAGAGUGCUUGCCUAGCAUGCAUGAGGCACUAGGUUCCAUCCUCAGCACCA
rnacentral:tRNA from 1 species